rnacentral:rRNA from 1 species
GAUGAACGCUGGCGGCGUGCCUAAUACAUGCAGGUCGAGCGAACAGAUAAGGAGCUUGCUCCUUUGACGUUAGCGGCGGACGGGUGAGUAACACGUGGGUAACCUACCUAUAAGACUGGAAUAACUCCGGGAAACCGGGGCUAAUGCCGGAUAACAUUUAGAACCGCAUGGUUCUAAAGUGAAAGAUGGUUUUGCUAUCACUUAUAGAUGGACCCGCGCCGUAUUAGCUAGUUGGUAAGGUAACGGCUUACCAAGGCAACGAUACGUAGCCGACCUGAGAGGGUGAUCGGCCACACUGGAACUGAGACACGGUCCAGACUCCUACGGGAGGCAGCAGUAGGGAAUCUUCCGCAAAGGGCGAAAGCCUGACGGAGCAACGCCGCGUGAGUGAUGAAGGUCUUCGGAUCGUAAAACUCUGUUAUUAGGGAAGAACAAAUGUGUAAGUAACUGUGCACGUCUUGACGGUACCUAAUCAGAAAGCCACGGCUAACUACGUG